UGGCAACGACCGAACGCUACAUUUCAAUUUCAAACUGGAUGUAGACCUUUUUGGGGUAAAGAACUGAUAUCGUUCGGUGUGGUAUGCAUGCAGAUGAAGCUGGAGUCACAUCUCGCAAAAGACAAAUGUCCAUUUUUGCAUUUUGAUUCUGAAAUGAAUAUUCAAGAAGAGCUCCUUUCUUUUUUACAGCGCAAAUGGGCUUCGAGUGAAGAAGUAUUGAUUACACAAGUUAAUCUUAGAUGCCUUACAAACAAGUGUCUAUUGUGAAUGUGGAGCGAAAGGAUCAAGAAGAUCCAGACAUUUGGUGUUCCAAGCGUUCAGGAAAUGUUCCAGUUUUACUGCUCAAGAAAGACAAGUCUUACCUCAUCAUUGGGAAAGUUAUUUUGGCCGAGAUAGAAGCAUGCCAUCUAGAUCAAGGGAUCUUUGCACUUUUGGCAAAUUUUUAUUUGCUAGAUUUCGACUACCUACGUUUCCUUGAA